rnacentral:rRNA from 1 species
UACGGAGGGGGCUAGCGUUGUUCGGAAUUACUGGGCGUAAAGCGCACGUAGGCGGCUCAGCAAGUCAGGGGUGAAAUCCCGGGGCUCAACCCCGGAACUGCCCUUGAAACUGCUAAGCUAGAAUCUUGGAGAGGCGAGUGGAAUUCCGAGUGUAGAGGUGAAAUUCGUAGAUAUUCGGAAGAACACCAGUGGCGAAGGCGACUCGCUGGACAAGUAUUGACGCUGAGGUGCGAAAGCGUGGGGAGCAAACAGG